GGCUGUAUUUGAACUUUUAUACCUAAACAAGAGCAGGAUUUCAAGUGGCAAGAAGCAUUCUCUCAGGAUCCCCUGUACCAUGCAUUUCGUGGCACCCUGGCUGCUAUGGAGGGAACCUCCCCAAAUCCCUGUGUUGAAGCCCCACCCCGCAAGGUGAUGGUGUUGGCCAAGCCAGUUAGGAAGGUAAAGAGCUUCAUGUUCCCGGGCACCGCGCCUCCUUCAGAAAGCCCAACUUAUCUUAGAAACUACCGUGGACACAGUGAAACCUGAGGUCGGAGGCCGAUGCACCGCGGUUCCCAGGAAAGUGCUCUCCCUCCCCAGUUCCCAGCACAGUCCUGUGUGAUCCACCGAACACUCUACUGCUGUUGCCGCAGAUAAUGAAGAGUUGUAGUCAAACAGAGGCGGGACUAUCCGGAGGGAAGCCA